CUACGGGUCGCACCAGUAAGGAAUAUUGCGCAAUGGAGGCAACUCUGACGCAGCCAUGCCGCGUGCAGGAAGAAGGCCUUAUGGGUCGUAAACUGCUUUUAUUUAGGAAUAAACCCCCGAACGUGUUCGGGGCUGAAGGUACUAAACGAAUAAGCACCGGCUAACACGUGCCAGCAGCCGCGGUAAUACGGAGGGUGCAAGCGUUAUCCGGAUUUAUUGGGUUUAAAGGGUGCGCAGGCGGGCUAUUAAGUCAGUGGUGAAAUCCCGGGGCUCAACUCCGGAACUGCCAUUGAUACUGAUAGUCGUGAGUUGGGUUGAAGUGGGCGGAAUGUAGCAUGUAGCGGUGAAAUGCAUAGAUAUGCUACAGAACACCAAUCGCGAAGGCAGCUCACUAAGCCAAAACUGACGCUCAUGCACGAAAGCGUGGGGAUCAAACAGGAUUAGAUACCCGGGUAGUC
rnacentral:rRNA from 1 species